rnacentral:tRNA from 1 species
GUCUGGCUGGCUCAGUUUGUAGAGCAUUUGACUCUUGAUCUCAGGGUUGUGGGUUCGAACCCCAUGUUGGGUA